AUCGCCAUUUUCUACUCUCUUAUCAAAUUUCGCUAUGCAGAUGACCUGUAAAUGUUCUUCGAGUAUCUUCUGAGUAUCUUCGUUCUUCUUCAUCCUACUGAAGUUUUAGAGACGAAGAUACUCGAAAAACAUUUACUGGUUACUUGUAUAGAAUUACUAUAAAUAGUCCGUCAGAACUCAAACACAAUUUCUUCCUCUCCAGAUCUGUGCUUCCCUUAUCCAUAAAGUACCAACUCGAUCGUAUAGCUCAAUCGCCGUUUCUCAGUCUCUUAAAUAUCUCCUAGUUGUCAAAAGUUCGUACAGGUGACUUGUAAAUGUUUGCGACCUUCUAAUAUGAUAACUGGCAAAACAUUUACACGUACCUUGUAUGAACUUUUGAUUCUAGCUUUGCUGAAGCCUUUUGAUGGAGGACUGCUCUAACUCAAGUGGCCAAUCUAAAAGGCUGUGAUAUUCACAGUCUGUGAGUUUAAAAUACACAUUAAUUGGUAUAAUGUUUCCAUUGGUUUGCUUAGAAAACUUCGAAAUGAGUUAAUUAAACAAAAUCAGCACUAACUCAACUGAUUUUUUGGAUCUAACAUGAGGGAAAAAUUUAAUAGUUAAUUGUUAUUUUGAUGUUAGACAGAGACGUCCUAUGCUUUAAUAGGAGUUAGCAAAUCUCUUGGGAUCCAUAAUGGAAGAAAAAGAUCUAGAUAGGUUUUACCUAUUAGUUGAGAAUAUGUUGAAGUCAAGUGAGCACUUUUGUUUUACAUCGCUUUUCUUGUAGUUGUUUAGCAUUUUAGAGAUUUAUACAUCAAUAGAAAAUAUAAAGAAUCUUUAAUACUUAUUAUUAUUAUUGUUUUUGUUUUGUAUAUGGCGAUCUAUCGAAACCCCUCCCGAAUAUUACUGUACACGUUUCUUAGAUCUCAAUAGCAAUCCCAAGAACCCAAAUCCUUGUUCUCAGAUCUCACCAAUUUUACAUCAAAAGCUGCUGCUUAAAUGCAGUCACUUCAGGAAAUUUUCUCUGUUUUCUUGAUCUGGGGUGGCUUUUUUUUCUUGAUAACAUACUUAAUCAAGGUAGAUUUUUUACACCAAUUUUGAAUUGUUUAUGAUGUGGAGAUUCAAACCUUUUAUGCCCAAGGAACAGGCUGGGCUUGAAGGUCGCACCAUUGAUAUUGGAAGUCUCAAAGUUCAUGUGCGCAAUGCAAUUACAGAAGGCGGAUUCUCUUGUGUUUAUUUAGCCCGAGAUGUACUACAUGGUUCAAAGCAGUAUGCAUUAAAGCAUAUUAUUGUUAAUGAUGAAGAAUCAGUUGAUCUAGUACUGAAAGAAAUUUCAGUGAUGAAAUCGCUCAGGGGUCAUCCUAAUAUUGUCACACUAAAUGCGCAUACCUUCUUGGACAUGGGUCGUACAAAGGAUGGAAUAUUGUGAGUUAUCCUUGGUCAGUGUCCUUGAGAACCGAGGAGCUGGCUUCUUUGAGGAGGAGAAACAAGUCCUCUUUAUAUUCAGGGAUGUAUGCAAUGCUGUCUUUGAUGCACUGCCAGCCCCCACCCAUAGCUCACAGGGUCGAAUCAGAGAGCAUUAGUGGAUUGUCGGCGAAAUUUCUUCAUUGAGCAAACUUCUUUUGUCGUCCUCCCAAGAUGUUGUGGGUAUAGAUGCUCAUCUAGAGCAAGUGAAAUCCCUGCUAUGGAUGAAAACUGAUGACAUUCUAAAUAAUUAUUGGUAUCUGGGGCACGGGAGGAAUAGGGAAUACGGCAGUUGCACGAGCCAUUUUGAAGCUUCUUGUUUCCGUGGAGAUGUUAGAGAAUACAAGCAUAGUGUGUGCACUCAUUGCAAAAUACCCUUCUUGGUAAACUGUUAAGGAAGAAAGAUGAAUGUCAGUAAGGAAGUGCAUGAUAGUGAGUAGACUUAUAGCCCGUUUGGCCAAACUUUUAAA